GGAGUUGUAAAGUAUAAGCCACUUCCCCCACUCUCUUAAUCACAGGAAAAGGGCCAUAGUACUUUGGGGACAACUUCUGGUUGGUAACCUUCUGAAUUGUCAGUUGUCUAUAUGGCUGCAAGCGUAAAUAAACCAUGUCACCCACCUAAAAACUCAUUUCUGAUCGGUACUUAUCCGCCAUAUGCUUCAUGCGAGAUUGAGCCUUCUUGAGACAAAAUUGUAGUAGUUUUCGAGCGGCUUCCCUAACUUGUAAACUACGAUCCACGACAUCCACAAGGGAAGCACCCGC
rnacentral:lncRNA from 1 species